UACGGGGGGGGCAAGCGUUGUUCGGAAUUACUGGGCGUAAAGGGCGCGUAGGCGGCCUUCUAAGUCAGACGUGAAAUCCCUCGGCUCAACCGGGGAACUGCGUCUGAUACUGGGAGGCUUGAAUCCGGGAGAGGAAUGCGGAAUUCCAGGUGUAGCGGUGAAAUGCGUAGAUAUCUGGAGGAACACCGGUGGCGAAGGCGGCAUUCUGGACCGGCAUUGACGCUGAGGCGCGAAAGCCAGGGGAGCAAACGGG
rnacentral:rRNA from 1 species